GUAGGGUUCCCUUUUGGCCACAUCCCCUCCAAGAAUUGUCAUUAUUAGUUUUCCUGAUAAUGCUUAUUCUUACUGGGGUGAGGUGGAAUCUCAAUGUUGUUUUGAUUUGCAUUUCUUUUAUGGUCUCUGAUGUAGAACACUUGUUCAUGUGUCUCUUGGCUAUUCUCAUUUCCUCUUCAGAGAAAUCUCUUUUUAAGUCUUUA